CGACGGUGUCGAGCCGGAGCGAGAAGUCAGCCGAGGCCGUAGUAGUCGGCGGAAAAGCUGCGAAGCUAUUCCGCAGGCGAAGGGC
rfam:Bradyrhizobium sp. AS23.2 Bradyrhizobium_AS_23.2_c63, whole genome shotgun sequence.